rnacentral:misc_RNA from 1 species
CCAAACUUGGUCAUUUAGAGGAAGUAAAAGUCGUAACAAGGUAACCGUAGGUGAACCUGCGGUUGGAUCAUUAACAAACCAACAAAGGCUGUCCAAAAGACGCCUAUUGUCAACAUCUGUGCACUGUUUAUGUCUCUGGUGGGUUAAAAGAGCAGCUCUCUCUUUGUUUAUAGAGAGAGAGGGCUGUUUGGAGUUGACUCUCUACCCACUUUUUAAACCUAGUUGUAUUGUUUGUCUUAUCACAAAGUAGUUUAACUUGAACAACUUUUGGCAACGGAUCUCUAGGCUCUCGCAUCAAUGAAGAACGCAGC